rnacentral:rRNA from 1 species
CCUACGGGUGGCAGCAGUGAGGAAUAUUGGUCAAUGGGCGCGAGCCUGAACCAGCCAAGUAGCGUGAAGGAUGACUGCCCUACGGGUUGUAAACUUCUUUUAUAAAGGAAUAAAGUGAGGCACGUGUGCACUUUUGUAUGUACUUUAUGAAUAAGGCUCGGCUAACUCCGUGCCAGCAGCCGCGGUAAUACGGAGGAUCCGAGCGUUAUCCGGAUUUCUUGGGUUUAAAGGGAGCGUAGAUGGGUUGUUAAGUCAGUUGUGAAAGUUUGCGGCUCAACCGUAAAAUUGCAAUGGAUACUGGCAGUCUUGAGUACAGUGGAGGUAGGCGGAAUUCGUGGUGUAGCGGUGAAAUGCGUAGAUAUCACGAAGAACUCCGAUGGCGAAGGCAGCUUACUAAACUGCCACUGACAUUGAUGCUCGAAAGUGUGGGUAUCAAACAGGAUUAGAUACCCCUGUAGUC